AUUGAACGCUGGCGGCAGGCCUAACACAUGCAAGUCGAGUGGCAGCGGGAAAGUAGCUUGCUACUUUUGCCGGCGAGCGGCGGACGGGUGAGUAAUGCCUGGGAAAUUGCCCAGUCGGGGGGGAUAACAGUCGGAAACGACUGCUAAUACCGCAUACGCCCUACGGGGGAAAGCAGGGGACCUUCGGGCCUUGCGCGAUUGGAUAUGCCCAGGUGGGAUUAGCUAGUUGGUGAGGUAAUGGCUCACCAAGGCGACGAUCCCUAGCUGGUCUGAGAGGAUGAUCAGCCACACUGGAACUGAGACACGGUCCAGACUCCUACGGGAGGCAGCAGUGGGGAAUAUUGCACAAUGGGGGAAACCCUGAUGCAGCCAUGCCGCGUGUGUGAAGAAGGCCUUCGGGUUGUAAAGCACUUUCAGCGAGGAGGAAAGGUUGAUGCCUAAUACGUAUCAACUGUGACGUUACUCGCAGAAGAAGCACCGGCUAACUCCGUGCCAGCCGCCGCGGUAA
rnacentral:rRNA from 1 species